CGUCUCCCUACGUUACACAGCCCCGACUUCAAGGGGAAGUUGUUUUCUCUUUCAUUUUCACGCAGGGCUAUGGCACCAAAAAGGAGCACUAGGGCAGCAGCGGGUAUUGAGAAGGAGUUGCCGGCUAGAACUACGAGGCCGCCCAGGAGCAAGGCAACAGCUGAGCCUGAGCCUAGAAGAAAAGCACCUAGUAAGGCGCCCGUGCGCAAGGCAGCUCCAAGACGCGCGGGUAAGCAGGACGAGGGCGCGCUGGAAGGGAUUUCCCAGAAUCUUGCUCGCUUGGUGGAUAGAAUGGGAAAACUGGAAUCUAGAGUUUAUCAGAGGUCCGACAGGGCAUCAGUAUCCCCGCAACGGGAUGCAACAAGGGGCAGGAGACGCACGAGGGACAGGGACGUCUCCAGGACCCCCUCAGCUAGUCCAGUAUCCAGUGGUGACGACUCCACAGCGGCCACCGAGCGGACCGAACGGAGUGGCGGCAGUGCUCGCAAGAGGUCGCGCAGGUCUUCCAGACGUUGUUGCCAGACUGCUACCGACAGCGACUCAACGGAGAGACGACAGGUUUCGGUCGCUAGCGCCGGACGCAGACCUCCAGCCCACCAUUUUCCCACAGGAGCUGUGGAACCUUGGAGAGGAGAAGCCUGGUCAGAAUUAAUGCUAACCAUCGCACCUGCGACCAGGAGGGCUUACCGUGCAGCGGUGACAGCAUUCACCAAGUUCAGGCUGGAAGCGGGUUAUGGCAGCAGAUGGCCAACCAGCGAGGACGAGGUGCUACAUUUCAUCAUUCGCCAGAGGAGGGCCAACGUCUCAGCACACGCCAUGCGGCGUCAACUGGCAGGCAUCGCCUUCUACAGCAAAGCGGCAGGAUGGGGAGACCCAUGCAACGACUACAGAACAAGGAAGCUACUGAGAGGGUGGAACAAGAGGGCGCCAAGGCAAAAAGACAGACGACGUCCCCUCUCCUACAACGUCCUUAGCAGGCUCAUCUCGACACUGAAGAAAAUCUGCACUUCACGUUACGAGGUGAAACUUUUCACAGCAGCUUACACCACAGCCUUCUUCGGGGCACUCAGACUGGGGGAGGUGGUAGCCGACUCCAAGGCUGAUGGGUCAGGGAAGGCACUACAGCUCAGGGAUGUCUCCAUCGGGCAAAACUCAUUAGUGAUUAGGAUCAGACAAUCCAAGACCGAUCAAGGGGGGAGAGGGGCAUCCCUCAGCAUUCAAGGCUUAGAACCAGGGCGGUUAUGUCCAGUCAGGGCACUUUCCGAAUACCUACACAUACGCAGGUCAUCCCCAGGUACACUUUUCAUUCAUAAAAACGGCACCCCGCUAUCUAGAUACCAGUUCAUGGCGAUAUUCCGCAGCGCACUAACCGGCCUGGGCCUCCCCGCAGCGGAAUACGGAGGGCAUUCAUUCAGGAUAGGAGCAGCCACCACUGCAGCGGUGGGGGGCGUGCCAGUGGACAUCAUAAAAACCAUGGGGAGGUGGAAAUCAGCAGCUUACACUUCAUACAUCAGACCCGGCCUUCUGCAGGAGGCUACGAGGUCUGCCGGCCCCUCUCCUCCUUUUCUUCAGGUGCGCUGCCGUGAACUCAGAAGAUCGGUCGAAGGGACGGAGAUGGCAUCAUACCAUAGCGGUCAGUCGGGAGGAACCGGGCGCCGAGGACGCCACAGGAAGGACAAAAUUGCCCGCUAGGAACUGGACUGAUAGUAUGGGACUCUCGCAAAAAGUGGCGAGGUGGUGGAGGACUCAGGUUAUCGGACAGCUGCAUGGCAGCGCUUCAGGCCACCGCUGGGGCAAGCGGUAUCCAGUUAUUCACAUUGUUAUUCUAGUCAUUGUUUUAUUUUGUUGGCUACGGAAGUUAGGGUUGGCGGCAAGGAGAGUGGGGGGUCCCCACCCUCCUUUUGUGGCGUAUGACAUGGGUCGCGGAUCUCGUAAAAUACUCCACCCCCCCCCUUUUCAUUGGCAUUAGGGGGGGGAAGGGAUAUUUUGGCCACCACCAGGUGGCGCUGGAGACCGACUACCGGGUCAGGUGUUGGUUAUGCCGUGACUCUUGUGGAUCAGACAGCAUUGGGCUGUUUGAUCGUUGAUCCGGGACCCAUGCAGGCAGCCAACCCUUUAUUCUGUAACCAAUAAAAUGUUGUGGCCAGUUUUACCCAAAGCUAUUGUUGUCAGUGUGUUUAUUGUUAACCAGCAUACGGCGGGGACAGUCGACCAUGCCCAUGCA
ensembl:lncRNA